GGUCUAAUGCACAAGGAAGGAUGAUACGUGGUCUAGUUUAUUUUAGAACACAGGCACACACCUUAAUUUAAAAAAUUGAGAAAAUAUAAAAUUCACCAUAUUAAGUUCAGUUAAAUUCCUGAAUUAAAAAAAUAUAGCUGAACUAAAAAAUUAAAGUAAAUAUUAAUUAUCUUAUAGAUACGUAUUACUAUAUUCUAAUUUCCCAACCUAUUUUUCAUAGGAGCCCUGACUCAAUCUCUUUAAAAUAAGGCUGAAACGUGCAAUCUGCUAGUUUUAAAAUAUGAAUCUCAGAAUGCACCGAUUGCUUAUUCAAGUACUGCAGUUGUUUGCAGAUGCUUAUGAUGGUUGAAUUUGCUCUUUUAAAAGCCCAGGAUAUUAUAUUUGGAUUUGUAUGUAUUUUUCUUUCAUAGCACAACACGAUAGGAUUUUGCUUUAGUUUGUUACAUAAAGAUAAAAUUAUUGCACUUGGUCAAACAGACACAAACAUCUUUUUAAGAGUCAAGUCCAAGUGCUGAAAGACAAGGACAGUAGACGGAAGGAGUUGCUUCUACUAUUACCGACAGUUAUCUUUUCCUCUGUGUUUCAACAGAGUACUGGGUAUAUUAAUUAAGUGCCAGUUCAAGUGAAAGCCUGCAUACACAUAAAAGUUCAAUAAUGCAGCCUUAAUUAGCUGUUAAUUUUUUUUUUUCAGGACUCUCUUCGUGUAUUUCAGACUUUACUAAUACUGUCACAAAACCAGCUUUGUGUGUGACCUUCUUUGUUCAUACUUUUCUGUAUAGAACAGAUUAACGUCAUGCUAGAGACUAUAUAGUACUACUUCUGGUGCAUGCAUUAGUGUGCAACGCUUUAGGCCAGUUCCCCAGUGCAAAUUUUUCCCCUUGCCCCAAAUGCAUACACAUGCUAUAUUUCCUUAGUCAAUAAGAAGUCUAACUUUCACUGUAGUACUUACCAUGUAUAAGACUGUUACCAGAUGAAACCAAAGUGUCCCAGAGGCACACGUUUCUGAGGGGGGAAAAAAAAGUCAUUACGGCCUGUUGCCAAGUGAUUCAUGGGGUGACAUGACUCAGAAAGCGUUUGCUUUUUAUGUCAAAGGCUAGAAGGCAGAACUGAACAAGGAGCCCGUGACUCUCUGCAGUCAUUGGACAGCAUAUGCAAAGAGUUAAGAGCUUUAAUUCUUUCUAUGCUCUUUUAUGCUUCUUGGUGGAACUAUACUUUCUGCCUUUAAGAUGUGUACUAAUCCUAGGUUGUACCAAGAAAUUAUAGAAGUUAUUCUUUUCAGAGCAAAAGAAUUACCUUGCCUUUGCUGAACAUAUUUCUCACCCCAGCAACAGCAUCACGUUAGGUUUCAUGAGUCCUGCCUGAGUGACCUCCAUGUGAAGCAGUGGGGACAACUAGUACAUCUUAAUUUCUUACUUAAAAUUGAUUCUCAUGUGAUUUUAAGAUUGCAACAUCUCAAAACACAAUCAAAACACUAAUUUUUAAAAAAGGUUUAAAUGAGAUUUUAUGCUACCUGAAAAUAGGUAUGCUGGGAGAUACUUUAUAUUUCCAGCUAUUUCUAAAUGUUGACCUUUGCGGUUUUACAGCUAUCUUACAGUCAUGCCCAAACUCCUUUAAUUCAUUUUGUAUGGCUUUUAACUAUAAUGAAGUUAAACAGUUUGUCAGUAAAAUGCAGACAAGACCUGCUAAAAUAACAGAAUGGGCAACAUGAAAAACCUGAGGAGGGUGGGUAUUCCUCCCAAUUUCUUUCUUUGUCCACUCUGUUUUCUGCAUCUCAUACACCUCACAGAGUCAUUUCUGGCCAAAGUGUAUACCUCUUUUGUACUCUCUUUCUUCUCUCCACUGUACUGCAGUAUACUUGCAUUCUUCAACUAAUAGGCUGUAUUAUAUAUAUCUUGUAGGUAAUGCAUUCUGUCAAAACUUUAUUUUGGCCAGAAUGUAAAGUGUGAAUAAAGUACUUCUUGUAGACUCCUGCCUAGAUUGAUACAAAUUUGCUUCUAUAAAAUAAGUAAGCAAGCUCAGUAUUUUUUUUUUAAAUGUUUAAUUUAAAAAGGUCACCAUAUGAGAACACAGAUUUCAGAACAGGCAAAACAAAAAGUCUGAAAAUGUGGCAAAUGGGAUAGUAGUGUGAAGCUGACAGAAGAGAAAGGAGAGUAAGGGUCAGUGUUUAUUACAAAGCUUCCUUAUGCAGCCAAAAUGAAUGAUACGAUACUGCCUAUACCAUCAUUCUAGGACAUCUUAAAGAGUUUUGUGUGUCACCAGUUAAAACUGUUAGAGGUCACAGCACAAGCAAAUGUUUCCUUAUGAAUAAAAAAAAAAAAAAAAGGCAAAAUUCUAAAUGUUGUACCUACCUUAUUGCCCUGGGAAUUGAAAUACAUUCUUGUAACCCUGGCAUUCCCAGCCUGCCGGAAGCAUACCAACUGCUGUGGCCUUGUCCACUCAAACAUUCGAACACUACCAUCUUGUGCUCCUGUAAGAUCUAAGAUUAAAAGAUAGAUGCUCAUUAAUACUACAGUAUUUCAUAGAAAAUUAUCUACUCUGUACUAGUAAGUAUGAUUCACUUACAAUACUGAUGGACUGGAUGUGAAGCCAUUCUCUUGACGUUAUUCAGAUUUCUUUUAAUAAGCUUCAUAUAAAACAAAAAAUAAUU